GCUUGCUGGGGGAUUAGUGGCGAACGGGUGAGUAACACGUGAGUAACCUGCCCUUGACUCUGGGAUAAGCCUGGGAAACUGGGUCUAAUACCGGAUACGACCAUCUGGCGCAUGUCAUGGUGGUGGAAAGCUUUUGUGGUUUUGGAUGGACUCGCGGCCUAUCAGCUUGUUGGUGGGGUAAUGGCCUACCAAGGCGACGACGGGUAGCCGGCCUGAGAGGGUGACCGGCCACACUGGGACUGAGACACGGCCCAGACUCCUACGGGAGGCAGCAGUGGGGAAUAUUGCACAAUGGGCGAAAGCCUGAUGCAGCGACGCCGCGUGAGGGAUGACGGCCUUCGGGUUGUAAACCUCUUUCAGUAGGGAAGAAGCGAAAGUGACGGUACCUGCAGAAGAAGCGCCGGCUAACUACGUGCCAGCAGCCGCGGUAAUACGUAGGGCGCAAGCGUUAUCCGGAAUUAUUGGGCGUAAAGAGCUCGUAGGCGGUUUGUCGCGUCUGCUGUGAAAGACCGGGGCUCAACUCCGGUUCUGCAGUGGGUACGGGCAGACUAGAGUGCAGUAGGGGAGACUGGAAUUCCUGGUGUAGCGGUGAAAUGCGCAGAUAUCAGGAGGAACACCGAUGGCGAAGGCAGGUCUCUGGGCUGUAACUGACGCUGA
rnacentral:rRNA from 1 species